UAGCCAUAUCACAUUGAAACACCAGUUCCCAUAUGAUUGCUAAAGUUAAGCAACAUCAAGCCCAGUCAGUAUCUAGAUGGAUGACCACUUGGGAAUACCAGGUGCAG